ensembl:lncRNA
GGCCGCUCCGCGGGGAGAGGCCCGGCUGGGGGCCUGGUUCGCGCAGGCAGCGCUGGUGCAGGAGGAAGGAGGAGGGGCCUCCGUGCUGGUCCCGCCGCGAACCCUCUCCAACAGCUGUCUUUUCCCCCCACCUCAGAAUAGCAUUCCUUUCGAACACCACGGCAAGUAGCUGCACGGCUCCCGUCGGAAGGCAGCGCGGGAUUGCCGGUCGGGUGGCUGCCAGCGGUCUCCAGUCCGCCGUGCACCGGUGAGAGCGCUCCUUUGGCUGAGGGCAGACAUGCAUGGCCGACCUACUCUGUUAUAGUGACACGCCCCGGUCUAGAACCGAACCGUUACCACCGGGAGCUCUCCAGGCCACCCACCCAGCGACGCCCACGGGGAAACAAACACAAACCCAACCGGACAGACUGCACGCGCUGCCAUCGCCAGGGGCUGCGCCGAGGCCCCGCGAGCUCGGUGGCAGCGGGGCUGGGAAGAAGAGAGACGAGCGCAGAGAGAAUCAGACUCCCAUCCAAGAGCCUCUUGGUCCGGUCCCUCGGGUGGCGGCGCGCCCGUGCCCCUGCCGAGUCUGCCGUAACCACCGACCUUCUACUCGGCUAAGACAGUUUUGUAUCAUUUUGCUAAAAAUUAUUGGCUUAAAUCUGUGUAAAGAAACCUGUCUUUUUAUUGUUUCUUUCCUGUCUGUUUUGCUGUCUGUAAAGAAAUCCGAAGCAGACGCUGGCGUGGAGUCUGGGAGGGCAGGCCGGGCGCGGAGGAGCCCACGGGGCCUCCCGGUCUGUGUCUCGUGCUGUCUUGUGCGGGCCGCUUGGGAGCCUGGCACGUGUAUACGCGUGUGUAAGUAACGUGUGUGUCCGUGUGUGCCUGUGUCUCGUGACCUCCCUGAUCCUCCCUGCCAUCCCCGUGGACUGAAGCGCCUGCUCACAGUGGACCCGCUGGGCACUCGAGUCGUCAGAGCGAUUGGACAGUGCCGGCGACAGCGCGGGCGCAGCAGGUGCCUCCCGAUUGAGCAGCCACGGCGAGGAGGAAGCUGAGCCUGGAGACGUGGGGCCCUCCUGGGGGCGGGGUGCUUGUUUCAGUGGCGGGUGCCUCCGCGCCUUCGCGUCUGGGAGGUUCUCUAAACAGACUGUCGGCGUUAAUAGCGCAGACCGGUCUUCCGUCCGUGUUAGCAUCCGGAUGAACGGCCAAGGGCUGUGGCGUCCGCCCCGGAUGCCAGCUUUGCCCAGGCCCAGGCAGGCCGGCGCACCCAGGGGGAUCGGCUCUGAAGUGCCGCGAAGCAGGGGACUCUUGACAGCCUGACCACCCAGCCUGACCACCCGAGGGUCUGGAUGGGGGUGGGGGCCUGGGCAGCCAGGGGCCUGAAAGGCGUCCGUGUCCUGGGACACCCUGACUGCCGAGUGGCCGGCCCGGAGCACAGCCGUUUGCGUCUUUCCGAACCCCGAGCCGGCUGCUCCGUGUGUUGGGGCGCGGGCACUCGGCCGCGUGGGCUGAGACCCAGGAGGGUCAGCGCGAGCUCCCAGUGCCUUGCGCAGAGGGCGCCUGCCUUCCCGGGGAGGCAUUGGCAGCUGCGGCCCUCGCCCCGCGCGGGGGCUGCAACGUCUGCAUCGCCUGUGUGCCGGCGGCCGGUCCCUGCGCUGCGCUUCUGUUGGAUCACUGUACCCGUGUCCACCCUCCGUGUAAAUAAUAAACUCGUGACCACUUCCA